UAGUAACGGCGAGUGAAGAGGGAUGAGCUCAAAUUUUGAAUCUGGUGUCUUGGGCACCCGAGUUGUAUACUAGAGAAGUGUUUUCUGUGUUGGACCAUGCACAAGUCCCCUGGAACGGGGUGUCAUAGAGGGUGAGAAUCCCGUAUGUGGCAUGGACUCCCUUCACUUUGUGAUACACUCUCGACGAGUCGAGUUGUUUGGGAAUGCAGCUCCAAAUGGGUGGUAAAUUCCAUCUAAAGCUAAAUAUUGGCGAGAGACCGAUAGCGAACAAGUACCGCGAGGGAAAGAUGAAAAGCACUUUGGAAAGAGAGUGAAACAGUACGUGAAAUUGUUGAAAGGGAAGCGUUUGAAGUCAGCCUCGCUCGUGGGAACUCAGCCUUGCUUUUGCCUGGUGAACUUUCUUACGAACGGGUCAGCGUCAAUUUCGACUGAGGGAGAAAGGUGAGUGGAAUGUGACAGCCUUCAGGCUGUGUUAUAGCCCCUUAUCAUAUGUCUCAGUUGGGAUUGAGGACUGCAGCGUGCCUUUAGAGGCCCCAGGGCUCAGGCCCUUGGUACACGCUUAGGA
rnacentral:rRNA from 1 species